GAUGAACGCUGGCGGCGUGCCUAAUACAUGCCAGUCGAGCGAACAGACGAGGAGCUUGCUCCUCUGACGUUAGCGGCGGACGGGUGAGUAACACGUGGAUAACCUACCUAUAAGACUGGGAUAACUUCGGGAAACCGGAGCUAAUACCGGAUAAUAUAUUGAACCGCAUGGUUCAAUAGUGAAAGACGGUUUUGCUGUCACUUAUAGAUGGAUCCGCGCCGCAUUAGCUAGUUGGUAAGGUAACGGCUUACCAAGGCAACGAUGCGUAGCCGACCUGAGAGGGAGAUCGGCCACACUGGAACUGAGACACGGUCCAGACUCCUACGGGAGGCAGCAGUAGGGAAUCUUCCGCAAUGGGCGAAAGCUUGACGGAGCAACGCCGCGUGAGUGAUGAAGGUCUUCGGAUCGUAAAACUCUGUUAUUAGGGAAGAACAAAUGUGUAAGUAACUAUGCACGUCUUGACGGUACCUAAUCAGAAAGCCACGGCUAACUACGUG
rnacentral:rRNA from 1 species